GCCGCACAGGGGUCCUGCACCCAGUGCUGGGGCUCCCAAGGGUGCUGGGGCUCUCAAGGGUGCUGGCAAAGUGGAGCGGGUGGAGAAAGGACACAGGGAUUCAGGGGCUGAAGGAAAUGUUGGCCACUGAGACCCAUCGAGCUCUGGCUGUUCAGCAUCUCAGAACCAACCCCAGGGGUGACUCUGCUCACUCUGGUGAAUGGUGUAAAUACCUUCCUGGGCAGAAAAUACCAGAUUCCGGCCGGCUCUGUAAUCCAGAACAAGGCAGGUGAGAACCGGCCACUGGAAGGUGAAGUCAGGCAAAUUAGAACCAAAGCUCGUGUUUGUAGAGAGGCCACAGGUGGUCUGGCAAAUAUCCAGGCCCCACAGUGCCCCACAGGCUCAUAUCCGGGCCCCACAGGCUUAUGGGCCCCACAGGGCCCCACAGGCUCAUAUCCGGGCCCCACGGGCUCAUGUUCUGAACAGGGCGGGUGAGUGAGCACUAGAACAAGCUCCCCAAGGCAGUGGGAGGUUCCCCAUCUCCGGGGGUCUGCAGCCCCAGCCUGGCGCCUCUCUGGCAGAGGGGGGCGUUAGCCAGACACAAGUUACUGGGCUCAGGGCAGGGGGGAACUGGCUGACGUUUGAUGGCCUGUGAUGUGCAGGUCGGACUAGUGGAUCUAAUGGCCCCUCCUGGCCUCAUACUCUGUGAAACUAUGAAAACCCGACAUUCCCCUGCACUGGGCCGGGCUGAGAUAACGUCCCUUGUCGAUGCAUCUUGGCGCGCAUGGCUGUGAUCAGUCCUCAGCGUGUCACAAGCCUGGUGCUGCCUGCCUCUCUCAUCCCAAUACAGUUCCACGCCUGAGCAGAGGACAGAGAGGAACCAGGAAGGCAGAGGUGGACAAUCAGCCGUUUCGAGGCCAUCAGAAGAGCGGGCGGACAGGAGCCGGGCCAAGGAGCUGACUCAUGAACCCGCUUCCCCUCCAGAUCUGGCCUGCCGGGGAGCCAGGACAGUGCCGCCAGCGGGAUCCCGGAGCCACCGGCCUCUGAACCGCACGGUCUGUCCCCACGGGAAACCGAGGAGGGAAGGCGGCUUCCGGGCUCACCCCUGGGAGAGAGAAAGGCAUCGGGGGGCAGGUAGAUGGUGGGUGAUGCUCCGUCCCUG
rnacentral:lncRNA from 1 species